rnacentral:rRNA from 1 species
GCAAGUCGAGCGAGAAGCUUCUGAUGGAUCCUUCGGGUGAAAGAUGAAAUGGAAAGCGGCGGACGGGUGAGUAACGCGUGGGUAACCUGCCCCAUACAAAGGGAUAACCACUGGAAACGGUGAUUAAUACCAUAUAACAUCAUAGUGUCGCAUGAAACAUUGGUCCAAGAUUCAUCGGUAUGGGAUGGACCCGCGUCUGAUUAGCUAGUUGGUAAGGUAAUGGCUUACCAAGGCGACGAUCAGUAGCCGACCUGAGAGGGUGAUC